AGGGUUUGAUCAUGGCUCAGAGCGAACGCUGGCGGCGUGCUUAACACAUGCAAGUCGAACGUUGAGCCGGUUGUAGCAAUACGGUCGGUUCGACGUGGCGAACGGGUGCGUAACGCGUGGACAACCUGCCCGCGAGAGGGGCAUAACCCCGGGAAACUGGGGCUAAUACCCCGUACGUUCCUCUUCCGGCAGCGGGAGGGGCAGAAAGCCCGCAAGGGUGCUCGUGGAGGGGUCCGCGUCCGAUCAGCUAGUUGGCGAGGUAACGGCUCACCAAGGCGACGACCGGUAGCUGGUCUGAGAGGACGACCAGCCACACUGGGACUGAGACACGGCCCAGACUCCUACGGGAGGCAGCAGUGGGGAAUAUUGCGCAAUGGGGGAAACCCUGACGCAGCGACGCCGCGUGGAGGAUGAAGCCCUUCGGGGUGUAAACUCCUUUCGACGGGGACGAAUGCCCGCAAGGGUUUGACGGUACCCGUAGAAGAAGCCCCGGCUAACUACGUGCCAGCAGCCGCGGUAAUACGUAGGGGGCAAGCGUUGCUCGGAAUUACUGGGCGUAAAGGGUCCGUAGGCGGCUGGAUAAGUCGGCGGUAAAAUCGCUCCGCUUAACGGAGCAAGGCCCGCCGAGACUGUUCGGCUCGAGGGGCGGAGAGGCGAGUGGAAUUACCGGUGUAGCGGUGAAAUGCGUAGAUCUCGGUAGGAACACCGGAGGCGAAGGCGGCUCGCUGGACGCUCCCUGACGCUGAGGGACGAAAGCUGGGGGAGCAAACAGGAUUAGAUACCCUGGUAGUCCCAGCCCUAAACGAUGGUCACUAGACGUGCCCCGUGUACGCGGGGCGUGUCGCAGCUAACGCGCUAAGUGACCCGCCUGGGGAGUACGGUCGCAAGA
rnacentral:rRNA from 1 species